GGGCGAUUAGCUCAGUUGGCUAGAGCGCAUGCUCGACACGCAUGAGGUCACAGGUUCGAAUCCUGUAUCGCCCAC
rnacentral:tRNA from 1 species